rnacentral:rRNA from 1 species
GACGAACGCUGGCGGCGUGCUUAACACAUGCAAGUCGAACGGAAAGGCCCUUCGGGGUACUCGAGUGGCGAACGGGUGAGUAACACGUGGGUGAUCUGCCCUGCACUUUGGGAUAAGCCUGGGAAACUGGGUCUAAUACCGGAUAGGACUACGCGAUGCAUGUCGUGUGGUGGAAAGCUUUUGCGGUGUGGGAUGGGCCCGCGGCCUAUCAGCUUGUUGGUGAGGUUAUGGCUUACCAAGGCGACGACGGGUAGCCGGCCUGAGAGGGUGACCGGCCACACUGGGACUGAGAUACGGCCCAGACUCCUACGGGAGGCAGCAGUGGGGAAUAUUGCACAAUGGGCGCAAGCCUGAUGCAGCGACGCCGCGUGAGGGAUGACGGCCUUCGGGUUGUAAACCUCUUUCAGCAGGGACGAAGCGCAAGUGACGGUACCUGUAGAAGAAGGACCGGCCAACUACGUGCCAGCAGCCGCCGUAAGAC